rnacentral:lncRNA from 1 species
CCCAAGGGAGGCCUAUCAGAACAUCAGAGGGUGAGCAGGGCUCUGCUCCAAACAAAAACAAACCCAAAAACAUCCAAAAAGAAAACCCAAAAACACUCCUCAGAGAUGCUGCUGAUAGGCCAGCCUUGGGGGUCAUGCAUCCUCGGGUGAGAAUCACUGGGGGGAAGGGCAGGUGGAGAGCUGGGCAGAGAGGUGAAGGGUGAGCAGAUGAGCCCCUGGGUGUGGCAGAGGGAGGCAUCAGAGUCCAGACUGUCAGACAUGUAGGCAAAGGACCCAGGACCAGGCAGACAGUGAGCAAAUGGAUGUAGCAAACAAGGCACCUGAAUGAUGGUGGGGGGCUGGGUGUUGGAAUUGCUGUUGAUGGUUCAAUAGUGAAUUGCCAACUUGGUGGUCCCGGAGCUGAGGAUGCUUGAGAUACAAAGCCCAGAGAUGCAAGUGGAGACUGAAAGGAAGAGGGCUUGGAUGUACGUGGGCUGAGAGUACCAGAGGGGACAUCUACACUGAUGGAAAGGCCAGAGCGGGUGGGAGAGGUCAGUGCAAGAGACUGUCUGGGGAGAGGUGACUGCUCGGAUGGAGAAAGGCGUGGAGGGC